rnacentral:rRNA from 1 species
AUGAACGCUGGCGGCGUGCCUAAUACAUGCCAGUCGAGCGAACAGAUGAGGAGCUUGCUCCUCUGACGUUAGCGGCGGACGGGUGAGUAACACGUGGAUAACCUACCUAUAAGACUGGGAUAACUUCGGGAAACCGGAGCUAAUACCGGAUAAUAUAUUGAACCGCAUGGUUCAAUAGUGAAAGACGGUUUUGCUGUCACUUAUAGAUGGAUCCGCGCCGCAUUAGCUAGUUGGUAAGGUAACGGCUUACCAAGGCAACGAUGCGUAGCCGACCUGAGAGGGUGAUCGGCCACACUGGAACUGAGACAUGGUCCAGACUCCUACGGGAGGCAGCAGUAGGGAAUCUUCCGCAAUGGGCGAAAGCCUGGCGGAGCAACGCCGCGUGAGUGAUGAAGGUCUUCGGAUCGUAAAACUCUGUUAUUAGGGAAGAACAAAUGUGUAAGUAACUAUGCACGUCUUGACGGUACCUAAUCAGAAAGCCACGGCUAACUACGUG